UACAGAGGUCUCAAGCGUUGUUCGGAUUCAUUGGGCGUAAAGGGUGCGUAGGCGGCGCGGUAAGUCGGGUGUGAAAUCUCGGAGCUUAACUCCGAAACUGCAUUCGAUACUACCGUGCUUGAGGACUGGAGAGGAGACUGGAAUUUACGGUGUAGCGGUGAAAUGCGUAGAUAUCGUAAGGAAGACCAGUGGCGAAGGCGGGUCUCUGGACAGUUCCUGACGCUGAGGCACGAAGGUCAGGGGAGCAAACGGG
rnacentral:rRNA from 1 species